GUAAUUUCUCAUUGAUUACCAAUUAUUAUUUUUAUUAUUCUUGUUUUUAUUACAUAGGUGGCCAAAAAAUACACAUGAAAUGAUAGACUAUUUACUAUUAAUUUUUGAAAUUAUGGUGUAAAUACAACUCACACCUCCUAAGUUUGGCCAAAAGUCAUCAUAUUUUUUCUUAUUACCUCUAACUAUGUUCUUUUGGGCCUACACUUUGCCUCUUUUGAGCCUUCCACUUGAACUAACUCGCACUUCCUAACGGGUGUUGUACUGGGUUUGCGCUACACAAGGCCAGUCUGCUUAAGUCUACUCUUUCUUUCAUCUUAUCGCCUAUUGGUGCCACACCUAAAGUUUUUUUUGAUGUAUCCAUUACGAAUUACCUAGCUGUUUGCUCAAAAUAUGCAUCAACUUUUGCAAUGAUACAAAAACAUAUGACCAAAACAGAUUUUUUUUUAUUAUUAUUAUGUUUGUUAUUUGGAUUCUUGGGAUUAGAGUUCUUGGGCACCAGUAGACACCCUGUUUAUUUUAAAUCCAAAACAACAUUCUAUCAAAGAACCUCUGUUUAAUUGACUUCAUUGUUAGAAUGGAGAGAGAGAGAGAGUAAUUAAAAGAAAAGACGAAUGGAAUUGUGGUAGAUAAUACAUUAUAUAUAUUAUCCUUAUACCUUACUCAGCAAAGAGGCACCUCCUUAGUCUCCUUCUCUUUCUGCCUUUUAUUCACUCCUACUUUGUCACUCAAAUUGUCCUCACAUGAAGCUUCCUUAGGCACCAAUAUAGAUUCUCAAGAGUAUGGCUCUUAAUGGAGACAGUUGCUCAAUGGUAAGGCUCUUAAUGGAGACAGUUGCUCAAUGGUAUGGUUCUUAAUGGAGACAGUUGCUCAAUGUGAGCAGGUAUCGUCGUAGUGAACGGAUAAAGGCAGUUUAUUGAGACCAUAUAAACCCGGAUGAAGUGGGCUGUGUGCUUGACUUUUAGAAUUAGGAUAUGUGUCCUCGGGAAAGUGUGCUCCUUGCCUACUUCCCACGUCUUAGCUGCUAUUCCUUCUUUCAUGGGGACUGUGGUCUUCCAACUCAACAUUUCAUCCAAGUACCUCCUCUAACAAUGGAUACUGGCAAGAGCUGACUUGAUGAAGCGUUAAGUCGCUGACGUGAUGUUGCCUUUAGGUAGCAUCAAAUCAUUGACUUGAUAUCUCAUUUAGGUCAGUGUCACAGUAUAUGGACGAGAGUUUUCCAUGUACACUCAUAAGCUGUUUCCCAUAGGCCUUGUAGAGUGUGCCAUGGAUGCAAUCAUGAUAGUCACAAGAUAGAACAGUUCAUAAAAUAUUAGUGAUCUAUGAAAGACAUGAGCCAUAUUGGGCAUAUGCUAUUUUAGAGAUAGGCUAUAUGUCAGAACCAUGAGUCAUGUUAGACACUAACCACUUAAGGCAUCGGCAUAAUGCGAACAUUUUCUAAUGGGCAAUUGUGGCUACGCCAAGCCAUAGUUGUUGGGAUCUUCCAACCCAAGUCGUGAUCUUGCUCCGGAAUAUUGCUCCGGUGCUCUGGGAAAGGAAUCUUAAUGGGAUCUCAAUUUUUAAAUUUUGGAAUCUCGAUCCCCGUUAUUAGGGAACCCAAUCUCCAAAGUGAUUAUUUGUUUUAUUUAUAGCCAACUAGCAUUGCAAUUAUGCUUUUAAUAUCUAUGCAUUGCUUACUGGCUAUAAAUAAAGAAAUUCUAUUUUAAGCUCAGAAGCAAGAUCCCCUAUAAAGUUGAGAUUGAGAUCCCAAAAGGCAGUAUGGAGAUCCCCAAAAGGUGGGAUUGAGAGCCCAAAACUUUAAGGAUCUCAAUUCGUAACAUAUGCAUUGUACGGGCAAGUUCCGAUAACAUUGGGAAACAUGCACAUCGUAUUUGCACAUGUAGCAUUUGCA
rnacentral:lncRNA from 1 species